GCAAUGUGCUAAGAUACUUUUUUACUAGCAUACAACUUGAUGACGUGAGUUUUAUUGUUUGUAUUUUUUCACAUUAAAAAACAGACUUAGAAGAUGUGACUUGCCCAUAGUCACCCAAGUAGUAAAAAGAAUAGAGCUGAGGUUUAAAAUGUUUUUAAUCUAUCAUUGUUUUACUGCGCAACUUCUCAUUUUCUUUAUAUAGAAGAGAAUCAAUAUUAUAAGUUCUAAAAAAUUAACAUUUCAUAGAAUUCUCUUGAUAGGAACAGUCCACUUGCAAAUAGAGAGUUUUCUCUUUUAGGGGAUGAAGGUUUUCAUCUCUUUUGGAAGAUCUGAGGGAUUCUGUGAGCCCCAGAACAGUGUCUUAUCUGCAACUGUGAAUUGGAACCUGGUGUGAGAGCCCUGACUGUAAACCUUAGAACAAACAAAAGACAGCCCUCCAUCCCUCAGGGUCAUAAAAACAAGGAAGCAUUUGAUGGAGUUCAUAAAUAUACAGAAUACUUCCAUUUUCAUAUAAUUGCUGCACCUGUCCAGGGACACUUUCUUAAUCCAAAUGGGAGCUACCCAGUGAGCAAGGAACUGCCUCUCACCCUGGCAUUUCACCUCCUCAACACCUUUCACCCCUCCCUGCUUCUUUGGUAGAUGGAUCAAGAAGCCUGCUGGAGCUUGAGAGUCCUGGAGAAGCUGCCUCUUCCUUGACCCCAUCACUACUCUGUACACAGCUGGAUCUCUUGGAAAUUACCAACCCUGGAGAGAAGUGUCUUUGACUUCUCUCCUGGCCUGGACAAACCACAGAGGAAACUUAAGGCAAAGAAGUCAACAUAGCACAGAGUCUGAGACUCUGAGGAAUGUGAUAUGGAGAUGGAAAAAUGGGGUAAGCCCUGGACUGCAUGGCGCCAAUUUCUCCAGCAGACCCUAGCAGAAGAAUCCAUCUCCCUUCUGAGAUUUAUGAUAUCCAGCUCCCAUCAGGCUAUGUCUGAGGAUCUCCAUUUGAUAUUAUUGCACUAGAAUCGAAUGUGUGCAACAAGUUAGCUGGUGAGAGAGCCUGGUUAUGGCUUUAAUGACUGCUAUGCUGAGAUCCUGCUUUGUUAGUCUUUUUAUCAACACCAUGAAGUGAGCUGAUUUAACACUACAUAUUAUAGAUGAGAAAAAAAUGUACCUAACGAAGUUAAAUAACAUACCUAAAUUCAAAUAAUUAAUAAAAGGCAU
rnacentral:lncRNA from 1 species